UACAGAGGUCUCAAGCGUUGUUCGGAUUCAUUGGGCGUAAAGGGUGCGUAGGUGGCGGGGUAAGUCAGGUGUGAAAUCUCGGGGCUCAACCCCGAAACUGCACUUGAUACUGCCUUGCUCGAGUACUGGAGAGGAGAUUGGAAUUUACGGUGUAGCAGUGAAAUGCGUAGAUAUCGUAAGGAAGACCAGUGGCGAAGGCGAAUCUCUGGACAGUUACUGACACUGAGGCACGAAGGCCAGGGGAGCAAACGGGAGUUAGAAACCCGA
rnacentral:rRNA from 1 species